CCGUUUGUACACACCGCCCGUCACACCAUGGGAGCGGGUUCUGCCAGAAGUAGUUAGCCUAACCGCAAGGAGGGCGAUUACCACGGCAGGGUUCGUGACUGGGGUG
rnacentral:rRNA from 1 species